rnacentral:rRNA from 1 species
AGCAGCCGCGGUAAUUCCAGCUCCAAUAGCGUAUAUUAAAGUUGUUGCAGUUAAAAGCUCGUAGUUGAAUUUCGGGGUUCUACCGUUGGUCGGGCUAACCAGUCUGUACUAGCGUGUAGAAUUUCUACCUUCUGGGGAACCAUCAUGUUAUUAAUUUAGCGUGGUGGGAAACCAGGACCUUUACCUUGAAAAAUUAGAGUGUCCAAAGCAGGCUUACGUCUGAAUACAUUAGCAUGGAAUAAUAAAUAGGACGGUGGUCCUGUUUUGUUGGUUUCUGAAUCACCGUAAUGAUUAAUAGGGAUAGUUGGGGGCAUUAGUAUUCAAUUGUCAGAGGUGAAAUUCUUGGAUUUAUUGAAGACUAACUUCUGCGAAAGCAUUUGCCAAGGAUGUUUUCAUUAAUCAAGAACGAAAGUUAGGGGAUCGAAGACGAUCAGAUACCGUCGUAGUCUUAACCAUAAACUAUGCCGACUAGGGAUCGGACGAUAUUAAAUUUUAUUGACUCGUUCGGCGCCUUACGGGA